CGGGGUGCAGCAGGCGCGAAAACUCUACAAUGCAGGCAACUGCGAUAGGGGAACAUCGAGUGAUCCUCAUAUUGGGGGUCUGUCCCACCGUCUAAAAAACGGUGGUUAGCAAGGGCCGGGCAAGACCGGUGCCAGCCGCCGCGGUAAUACCGGCGGCUCGAGUGGUGGCCGAUAUUAUUGAGUCUAAAGGGUCCGUAGCCGGCUUUGCAAGUCUCUCGGGAAAUCCAGCGGCUUAACCGUUGGUCGUCCGGGGGGUACUACAUUGCUUGGGACUGGGAGAGGUAGGAGGUACUCAGGGGGUAGGAGUGAAAUCCUGUAAUCCUCUGGGGACCACCGGUGGCGAAGGCGUCCUACCAGAACAGGUCCGACGGCGAGGGACGAAAGCUAGGGGCACGAACCGGAUUAGAUACCCGGGUAGUCCUAGCCGUAAACGAUGCUCGCUAGGUGUCACAACAGUCGUGAACUGUUGUGGUGCCGUAGGGAAGCCGUGAAGCGAGCCACUUGGGAAGUACGACCGCAAGGUUGAAACUUAAAGGAAUUGGCGGGGGAGCACAAGGGCGAAUUCGCGG
rnacentral:rRNA from 1 species